UACGAAGGGGGCUAGCGUUGCUCGGAAUCACUGGGCGUAAAGCGCACGUAGGCGGCUUUCUAAGUCAGGGGUGAAAUCCUGGAGCUCAACUCCAGAACUGCCCUUGAUACUGGAAGCUUGAGUUCGGGAGAGGUGAGUGGAACUGCGAGUGUAGAGGUGAAAUUCGUAGAUAUUCGCAAGAACACCAGUGGCGAAGGCGGCUCACUGGCCCGAUACUGACGCUGAGGUGCGAAAGCGUGGGGAGCAAACAGG
rnacentral:rRNA from 1 species